rnacentral:lncRNA from 1 species
CUCUUCUAAAGGUUAAUUUUCUGCCUACUUUUUUUGCUACUUUUUUAGUAACAUUGUACUUUUUCAUCAUGUAGGGGACUGGCAAAUAUUCUUGCUUUUUUGCUUUUUUAUUAACAUUCCGUUGUUUGGAGGAGAAGGGUUCUUGUGCUUCAUGAUGGAUGGCUGCCAAGAAAUGUUUACUAUAUCCAUGUUAAUAUCUGAGACUAUAGGUAUAAUCAAGUUCUUUUAUCAUUUCUUGGCUGUUUGUGUUGUAAAAGUUUGUCCCUUCAAAAUAAAAGUGAAAGGCCAAUACCUUGUAUGUAAAUGGGUCAGAGGACCACUUUGGGAUAAUGACAGGAUUAUAUGUAGGCUUUCUAUAAAUGGAGAUUUCUAACUUGGUAUCUUUCAACUCUAAUUUUGUCUAAAAAAUGGGCAUUGGUAUCACUGAUUUGUUAUUUUUUUAGUAUAAAACUGUACAGUUCCAUUGUUAAUUCUUCAGCUAAUGCUUCUGCUUUUGUGCCUUUGUCCCAUACUAUGAUAAUAUCAUCUAUGGACCUCAAAUGCAAUUUCAUGUUUUGCUGGAAUUUAUCAAACUUUACUUUCUGCUUCUCUAAACAAGAUUUCAGCUAAGGGGAUGCCAUGGGGCUCCCUAUCAGUACGCUUUUCAUUUGUUGGUAAUAUUUGCCUCUAAACUUGAAGUAUGACUUGUGGCAUAUUAUGUAUGCUAAUUCUCUAAGAAGUGAUGCUCUUUCUUGCAUCUCAGGUGCAUUUGUAAGUAAAAAUCUAUAAAAUGCAAGAUGUGUGUUCUAUUUCUAAAGAUGGAUAGACACUCUCAUAAUCAAAAGUUGCUAUUAUAUCUCUUUCCUGCCAUUGGAAUUCUCUUAGCCUGGCCAAGACUUGCAUUGUGAUGGUGGUUGGGUUGUCCAUUUGGCCUAGAAUUUUCAUGGCCCAAUUUGCCAUUUUUCGCUCUGGGCUGCAAGCAGGGGUACUUCUCUUUUCUGCUAUUGAUCUGGCCAUUACUGGGUCCUUAUGCAUCUUGAUAUAUGCAAACAGUCU